rnacentral:rRNA from 1 species
AGAGUUUGAUCAUGGCUCAGGAUGAACGCUAGCGGGAGGCUUAAUACAUGCAAGUCGAGGGGCAGCAUAGGACUUCGGUUCUGAUGGCGACCGGCGCACGGGUGAGUAACGCGUACACUACCUACCUUUAACAGAGGGAUAGCCCUGGGAAACUGGGAUUAAUACCACAUAGUAUUGCAUAUUUUAUUUUUAUGCAAUUAAAGCUCCGGCGGUUAAAGAUGAGUGUGCGUUAGAUUAGCUAGUUGGUAAGGUAAUGGCUCACCAAGGCAACGAUCCCUAGCUGGUUUGAGAGGAUGAUCAGCCACACUGGAACUGAGACACGGUCCAGACUCCUACGGGAGGCAGCAGUGGGGAAUAUUGCACAAUGGGCGAAAGCCUGAUGCAGCCAUGCCGCGUGUGUGAAGAAGGCGUUCGGGUUGUAAAGCACUUUCAGUCAGGAGGAAAGGGUGUGAAUUAAUACCUCACAUCUGUGACGUUACUGACAGAAGAAGCACCGGCUAACUCCGUGCCAGCAGCCGCGGUAAUACGGAGGGUGCGAGCGUUAAUCGGAAUUACUGGGCGUAAAGCGUACGCAGGCGGUUUGUUAAGCGAGAUGUGAAAGCCCCGGGCUCAACCUGGGGAACUGCAUUUCGAACUGGCAAAACUAGAGU